rnacentral:rRNA from 1 species
CAGCAGCCGCGGGAAAACCGAGGAUGCAAGCGUUAUCCGGAAUGAUUGGGCGUAAAGCGUCUGUAGGUGGCUUUUCACGUCCGCCGUCAAAUCCCAGGGCUCAACCUGGGAACUGCAUUUGUGACUGGCAAGCUAGAGUAUGGCAGAGGGGGGUGGAAUUCCGCGUGUAGCAGUGAAAUGCGUAGAUAUGCGGAGGAACACCGAUGGCGAAGGCAGCCCCCUGGGCCAAUACUGACGCUCAUGCACGAAAGCGUGGGGAGCAAACAGGAUUAGAUACCCCUGUAGUCCCUGUCUCUUAUAC